rnacentral:rRNA from 1 species
UAGGGAAUAUUGCACAAUGGGCGAAAGCCUGAUGCAGCAACGCCGCGUGCGCGAUGAAGGCCUUCGGGUUGUAAAGCGCUUUUCGGGGAGAUGAGGAAGGACAGUAUCCCCGGAAUAAGGCUCGGCUAACUACGUGCCAGCAGCCGCGGUAACACGUAGGAGCCUAGCGUUAUCCGAAUUUACUGGGCGUAAAGCGCGUGUAGGCGGUUCAAUAAGUUGGAUGUGAAAGCUCCUGGCUCAACUGGGAGAGGUCGUUCAAUACUGUUGGACUUGAGGAUGGUAGAGGGAGGUGGAAUUCCCGGUGUAGUGGUGAAAUGCGUAGAUAUCGGGAGGAACACCAGUGGCGAAAGCGGCCUCCUGGACCAUUCCUGACGCUCAGACGCGAAAGCUAGGGGAGCGAACGGG